UUUGCUCUUGGGUUUUGUUGUUUGCUUUGAAUUUAUACUUUGUUGGUUAUUUUUGUGAUUUCUAUGACCAAAGCUUGGAUUUUGCCGAGUGGGCAUCUGGAUAUUUUUGGAAUUAGAUGAGUUUAAUGAGAAGGAAUCUGAAGAAAUUACCUUUUGUAGCUGGUCUUAGGAGUUUGUGGUUGUGAAUUUGUGAUUUUCUCCGGAUGAUUUUGUUGAAUUUUGGGCAAACUAUGGUUGUGUUGUGUACUUGGAUGGUGCAAACAGAUAAUUUGGAUCACGUGGUUUGUUGUUUUUAAUGUGUUUUGAUUGUAAACUGCUAUUUUGACUUGCUAUUUUGUUGUCAUAUAUGGUGAUUCAUUAUUGUUUUUGAUGUUCUGAAUGUGGUUAUUGUGAAAUCACAUUGCUUUUAUAGCUAGUUUAUGCUAGUCCAUUGCCCUUCCUUCUGCCUAUGUUAUUAGCUUAAUUAUUCUGUCACUUUUUUCCAAUUAGUGUGCUCAAUUGCUUGAAGUUAAGCCACACUUGUAAUUGUUGCUAUAUAUGUUUCUAUUUCCCUCGGAUUGUUGUGGCUGGGAAACUUUGGUGAGGAAUAAACUUCUAAAUUGUUAUGUUCUCUGGUGUUAUGUUUUCUGGUUUCUUGCUGAAUGUUUGAAAAUGCAGCUGAACUAAGUCCCAGUUUUGAGUUGGCUAAGUUAAGUGGAGGUGUUUGUUUUCAUUUCCAGAACAAUAAAAUAGCUAAUGAAAAAGAUUCAUAUUAGGUUACCAGCAUUUGUAUUUUGGAUUCUUCCAUUAUUCUUUUGAGCUACAUUUUAGUUACAUUUUUUGGUUUCAUUUUUCUUUGCCUGUUGAUUGUUAUGUUUGCAAAAUUUUCCAAGCUACUUGUCAAAAUGGCUAGUUUUUUACUAUAUCCCUGCAUAUAAAUCAAGAAAUAGUGUCAGGGUUCAGAUUAUGACUGAAGUUAAAAGCAUUGCAUGCAAAUCUGAACUUGAGGAUGGAGGGAUAAAGUCCAAUAAUGCUAAUCUUUGUAACUUCUGGUGGUAUUCUUGAUAUUGAAACAGAGGAAAUGAUGCAUGGAGACUUCUUCAGCUGGUGAUUUUCUCUCUUGUUCCUUUAAUGCUAUUAACUGUGUCUACAUUUACAGUCCAGGUAAUCUUAAUGAAGACCAGAAGAAAUUUUUUACCGGCUAUGCCUUGUGUAUGUUCUUAUUAUUCAAGCAGGACCAUUUCAAGAGCUACCUGGAAUUUCAGCCAAACCUAAGACCUAUUUCUCCACUGCUAUUGCCACACAGGAUGCAGAAUUUUCUCCGUGCUUCUUUUGAAUUUGAUGUUGCCCUUGGCAAGAGAAAUUUGGCGAGAUGGGAAAUAAAUACUUGUCAUGCUACCGGACAUUUGGCAAGAGAUUUGGCUUUUGUACAUAUUUGUAAACCAGUAAGUUUUGAAAUCCAACUUUGCUUACAGACUGGCUAGCUUAUUUAUCCUGUUCUUGAAUUAGAGACUGAAACCAAGAGGUUCUGGUUGCAUUUGAACAUGUUCGAGGUUUGAGUAUAAGAGCUUAACUUCUGAUACCAUUGGUGAGCAGCAGUGUAAUUAUUGUGAAAUAUAUUGAUAUUCUGUCUUUCUGCCAGAUAAAAUUUUUUAACCAUA